GACGAACGCUGGCGGCGUGCUUAACACAUGCAAGUCGAACGGAAAGGCCCUGCUUUUGUGGGGUGCUCGAGUGGCGAACGGGUGAGUAACACGUGAGUAACCUGCCCUUGACUUUGGGAUAACUUCAGGAAACUGGGGCUAAUACCGGAUAGGAGCUCCUGCUGCAUGGUGGGGGUUGGAAAGUUUCGGCGGUUGGGGAUGGACUCGCGGCUUAUCAGCUUGUUGGUGGGGUAGUGGCUUACCAAGGCUUUGACGGGUAGCCGGCCUGAGAGGGUGACCGGCGCAGUGGGAGUGAGGUGACGGCCCAAGCUGCAAGGGGAGGCAGCGGGGGGGGAUGGUGCACAAGGGGCGAGAGCGCGACGCAGGACGGGGGGGUGCUGGAUGGCGGUCUGCGGGUGGCAGCCCGGUUUGUCGUGUGACGAUGGGGGAGGGACGGUAAUGGAUAAAGAAGGACCGGCUAACUACUAGCGAGCGGGCGGGUGAUAGCGGGGGGAACACGUCUCAGC
rnacentral:rRNA from 1 species